GGUGAAGGUUUGUUUGUAUAUAUUUGCUAUAUUUAUCUUCGUUUGGCAUGCUUAAAUCCGACGGUCACGUGACGCGACGUCACUACCCAUUGGGAUGCGGAGGAGACGCGUGACGCUCGCGCUUAAAAGCCAGGUGCAAGCCGAAAGUGCACCUGCCUGCAGAAUGACCUCUGAACCUGCCAUGACGUCAGCAAUGAAAAGAAUCUUUUAGGUUAAGUCGUUUUUGAACCCGAUUAAACACGAGCCGAUACGGGUUAAACAAAAAAAAAAAGUCUCGUGCCAAGGUUGCAUGAAUGUAAAAAUACCUAUCUAUAUAUGCAUAAUCACAUUAAUUUCCACAGAAUUUAAAAUCGAAUAUUUAAAGAGAAAUUUAAAAAUAAAAAUAAAAUAGAAUUCUCGCGACUCUAAUUUAAAUUUUUUAAGCGAUCGAGGAAAAAGAAUUUUGAAAGAAAUUGAAUCUAAAUAGAGAAAAGGAGAAGAAAAAAAAAUGGCAGAAGUAACCGAUACAGAAAAAAAGAUACAUACUUUAUCAACAUUAGAAAUGUCCUUUGGGAGUCGAGACAAACAGAUUAAAAAAUUGAAAAAUCUGAUCAACAGCCAACAAAAAGUGAUCGGUAAGCAAAAAAAGAAAAUAAAUGUCUUAGAAAAGAUACUGGAUGAAGUAACAGAAAAAGAGAAAAACGUUAAAGAAAAAUACAAAAUUUCCACUAAGGAAGGAAGCACUAAACAUAAAAAGAAAUCGGUCGAGUUACAUCAAACGGAAUUACCUUUUAACCGUGGCGAUAAUCUAGAAGUACAUCAGAUGGCUUCACCUUCUUCGGGACCGUCUUCUCGCCCCGAAACCCCGACUCAAGCUGGAACGUUGGAGGACCAGUUCAAACUUUUUGCCAAAUUCGGUGAUUCUAAAAAUACGGGAGAAGCGAUCACGCUGUCCAAUAGCGAUAAAUGGUUCAAACAGGCCAAAGUUAUCGACGGAAAAACCGUCACAACUACAGACACGGGAAUCUAUUUUAAGAAAGUGGCCAAAACAAAACGCGCCCUGACUAAGAAAGAGUACCUCAUCUUCCUAGAAACUAUAGCAACUAAUAAAAAAGUCAACUUGGAUGAAAUGAAGGAGAAGCUGUCAUCUUGCGGACCACCCGGCUUUAGUGGGACUACGCCGGUGGCCAGUGGAGGUGCAGUUAGUAGACUAACAGACCACACGAAAUUCACAGGAACGCACAAACAAAGGUUCGACCACAGCGGUAAAGGUAAAGGUAAAGAAGGCAGAGUCGACCUAACACCUAAUUCCGGUUACGUACAAGGUUAUAAAGCCGAGGGAUCGUACAACAAAACACAUUGACCAAUACUCGUGAAUCCAUUUCGUGUAGUAUCCUCGUAGUGCGUGUUUAGUGGGACGUCAACUCGCAAAUCAAAAAAGAAAUCAACUCUCUUCCGAUAAAAUUUAUCUAAAACUUGAGCAAAAUCUAUAUGUGAAAGAACGUAUCGUAAAGUUUACCAUAACAGGAUUGCCUUUCUGACUUAAAAUAAAUCGACAUCAAUACAGAACUGCCUCCUCAUAUACAUAAAUGCAUAAAGCUAACUAAAUCACUGCUACUAUCAUCAAUCAUAUGUUCAAG
rnacentral:misc_RNA from 1 species